ensembl:lncRNA
GAACAGGGAAGCCUCUCCCACUGACAAAUACCCCCGGCGCUCAUUCCCAAGGAAAACCCACCUGCAGUCCCCAACAACCCUGCAGCGACCCGCAGCAUCCCACGAGGCACAAAGCAGCAGCUGCAGCCACUGGCUCCAAAGCAGGACGGGAAACGUCUACGUGGGGCAAGAAAUCUGAUUUGCCAACAGCAGACAUCAGGGAGGGCGUGCGACAUGGUAAAAAAUAAAGAUGCACCAAGUGGAUUACUGCCGAACACAGUGACCGCACGACUCCAGCUGAAGAAAACCCUCCGUUUUCUCAAGGCAGCAAAAACUGCUGGAUGCUUGCGGAGGCAGGAGGCAGUUGAGCAGGACGGAGCUCGCGAUACCCACACGGCUCCGCAAAGGUCAUUCGCAACGGCAUCGCUCGCGUCUUUGUGUUGAGAUAGUUGAGCUCAGAGCAGGGACUGGUUUUGCUUGGGGAAACACACAUCUAAAGGACUCAUCUUUUUAUAUAUAUUUAUUAUAAUCGCAGCGGCAGCACAGAACAGCACGUUGGAGAUGUGGCAGAGCUACAGACCUGUGUGGAGUAACUAUACACCGAUUAUCUUGAAGUACUGGCCCACAGAAAAAGUACACUUACCAGCACGCUUUUGUAACGCUCAGGGCACAGAAGCCACUUGGCUUCUAAUACCGGUGUUAUGAGGCUCUCGUGAGAGACAAGCCGUGAUAUUUUUUUCUGCAAGCAGUCAACGGUGAUUGAUGACUCCAUCAGAAUGAUGGCUGUGACUCCAUGUUUUCUGUAUGGCCCUCUACACGGCGAAAAGCAAUGACUUAAGGAGCUUUUUUAGAUCUCAAUUCCUCUGAUCAAGAGUCGGUACACCCUCUCUGUUCAGCUGCUUGUCGCACAGCUCACAAAAGAUUUGUGCCAGGAUUUUUCUGCCUUAUGAACCUUUGCCUUGACCCGUGUUUCUAGAAGACAGCUUAAAAAAAGGAAGAUUAAUCUCACCAAAAAAAAACCUGUCUUCUAACAGCACAUAUACCUAGUUGGGCCAGGGACAACUGUAUCCCUCACCAACUCCUGUUUCUCUCCUUCUCAUAUGCCAGGUUGCCUCACUGCUAUCUACAGGCUCUAACUACAUAAAACACCAACACACCACAAUGAAUUCUCCUACCAUUUUUAAGCCAAAAUAUAGUUAAAUCCAAUCUCUCUCCUCCUACAUACUUAAGACUACCUUUGUCCACGGCAGAAGCGUGCAGAUCUUAGUGUGUCAUUAACAAAAGGGAUUUUUGUUUGUUUUUCCCUGAUACUUACCAAUGAAAAAUUGCACAGGUGGUAUCAUUUCCUCAUGUUAUGUUACAGGUGUACUGUAUUAGCCAAAUCAUUUGGACUUCCCCCCAUUCUUCUGUUUUCCCCUACUUUCUUUAGCUGUUACUUCACUUG